GGGCUUGUAACUCAGUGGUAGAGUGCUCGCUUCGCAGUCUUCCAUUGGGGAACAAAAAUGCGAGAAGUCGAGGGUUCAAUUCCCUCCAAGUCCA
rnacentral:tRNA from 1 species